UGGCCGAACUCUUCAUGGGUCUGAUAGUU
rnacentral:piRNA from 1 species